ensembl:lncRNA
UGACGCUGACCCUUCCCAAGACCUGACAGAAGAUCAUAUAGAGCAUCCGUAUGCGAUGGAUUCAGAGAGGGCGGAGAUGAGGGGUUUGGGGGAAAAUGACCCAAACAGCAGGAAGGAUCUUGCUUUCUCUAGGUAUGAUGAAGUGGAGAGGUUCUUGAGGACAGGGACAUUUUCAGAGGAGUUGAUGCAGGACAUGAAGCAAUAUGUCAGAAGAGCCUCAAAGCACUACUGUCUGGAAGGUGAUGUUCUGUACUACUGUGGAGGAAAUGGACUGGAUGACGGUCUUCGGCAUUUUGAUGGCCAACGGCAACGCAAAGUCGUACGCAGCCCGGAAGAAGUGAAGUGUGUGCUCAAACAAUACCACAAUGAGAAGAGCCACAAGAAUAGGACGGUGACUCUCAAAGAAGUGACAGGACUUUUCUACUGGGGUUCCAUGGCAAAAGAUGUAAACAAAUGGAUUGACAACUGUGAAGAAUGUCAGAUCCGUCCAAAAUAUUGCUCUUCCCAAAAGUCAAAUUACUGCAUUUGCUACGGAUGUGAGAGUAGCCUGGUAUCAAACAGUGAAGACGAGAGCCUGACCUUUCACAGGUUCCCCAAAAGUGAUGACGAG